GACGAACGCUGGCGGCGUGCUUAACACAUGCAAGUCGAACGAUGAAGCCUAGCUUGCUAGGUGGAUUAGUGGCGAACGGGUGAGUAAUACGUGAGUAACCUACCUUUAACUCUGGGAUAAGCCUGGGAAACUGGGUCUAAUACCGGAUACGACCAAUCUCCGCAUGGGGUGUUGGUGGAAAGCGUUAUGUAGUGGUUAUAGAUGGGCUCACGGCCUAUCAGCUUGUUGGUGGGGUAACGGCUCACCAAGGCGACGACGGGUAGCCGGCCUGAGAGGGUGACCGGCCACACUGGGACUGAGACACGGCCCAGACUCCUACGGGAGGCAGCAGUGGGGAAUAUUGCACAAUGGGCGCAAGCCUGAUGCAGCGACGCCGCGUGAGGGAUGACGGCCUUCGGGUUGUAAACCUCUGUUAGCAGGGAAGAAGAGAAAUUGACGGUACCUGCAGAGAAAGCGCCGGCUAACUACGUG
rnacentral:rRNA from 1 species